AACUGGAAAGUAUAAAAAGUGAGGACUGAGGGGGAGAGGGGCUGAUUAAAUACAGGAAUGGAACAUAAUGGAUUGUGGGUAACUGUAA